GACGAACGCUGGCGGCGUGCCUAACACAUGCAAGUCGAACGAGUGGCGAACGGGUGAGUAAUACGUGGGAACCUGCCUGAUGGAGGGGGAUAACUACUGGAAACGGUAGCUAAUACAGCAUAACAUCAGAUGUGCCCCGAUGGGAUUAGCUAGUAGGUGGGGUAACGGCUCACCUAGGCGACGAUCCCUAGCUGGUCUGAGAGGAUGACCAGCCACACUGGAACUGAGACACGGUCCAGACUCCUACGUGAGGCAGCAGUGGGGAAGAUUGCACAAUGGGCGCAAGCCUGAUGCAGCCAUGCCGCGUGUGUGAAGAAGGCCUUCGGGUUGUAAAGCACUUUCAGCGGGGAGGCGUUACCCACAGAAGAAGCACCGGCUAACUCCGUGCCAGCAGCCGCGGUAAUUC
rnacentral:rRNA from 1 species